AUGAGAAAGGUUUUUGUACGGCGGCUCAAUGAGUUUGUAUCACUGUGGUGGACUUUUGGUGGAGGAACCAGACUGGAUAUUGGAAGUGAUGUCCGUCCCACCCUGACGGUGCUGCCCCCCUCCAGCGAGGAGCUGCAGCAGGGGAAGGCCACGCUCAUAUGUCUGGCCAACAAGGGCUUCCCCUCAGACUGGAGUCUGGCCUGGAAGGUGGACGGCAGCAGCAGCAGCAGCAGCGGGGAGGAGAGCAGGAGCUCCGGGGUGCUGCAGAAGGACGGCCGCUACAGCUGGAGCAGCACCCUGAGGCUCCCUGCAGACCAGUGGAGGAAGGUGGGCUCUGUGACCUGUGAGGCCACCCAGGGCUCCCAGACUCCAGUCUCAGAGACACUGAGGAGAGACCAGUGUUCCCAGUCCUGACCUGACUCACUGGGACUCUGCUACUGGUUUUACUCUGCUACUGCUCUCACUCUGAUCUCUAAUCAGAACAGUGUAACAUUGUGUAACUUCAAACUGUAACAACUGCAUUAUUGUAGUACUGAUGACUUAGAUGCUUGAAACAAUAAAAAUUUUCUCUCUUGAAAUCAAAUAUUUUUCUGUGGAUGUUUGACACCAACAAUACAUGCAGGAUUAUAACUCUUUCUUGAUCUUAAUCUUGGGAUUAUAUAAAGUAUUGUUACAUAUCUAUGAAGUCUUUGAGUCUCAACUGACAGUGUGUCUGUUUAGCAGUGGUAUCAUAAAUCAUUAUGUAAAACAUGGUGUUAAUGGAAGGAUGAAAGGAUCCCAU